rnacentral:rRNA from 1 species
AUUGAACGCUGGCGGCAGGCUUAACACAUGCAAGUCGAACGAGUGGCGGACGGGUGAGUAAUGCUUGGGAAUCUAGCUUAUGGAGGGGGAUAACUACGGGAAACUGUAGCUAAUAACGCGUACCAUAGGAUGAGCCCAAGUGGGAUUAGGUAGUUGGUGAGGUAAAGGCUCACCAAGCCGACGAUCUCUAGCUGGUCGGAGAGGAUGACCGGCCACACUGGGACUGAGCAACUGCCCAGACUCCUACGGGAGGCAGCGGUGGGGAAUAUUGCACAAGGGGCGCAAGCCUGAUGCAGCCAUGCCGCGUGUAUGAAGAAGGCCUUCGGGUUGUAAAGUACUUUCAGUCGGGAGGCGUUACCGACAGAAGAAGCACCGGCUAACUCCGUGCCAGCAGCCGCGGUAAUAC